UUUAUUCUAUGUGCAUUUUUUUUCUGUUUUGUUUGUUUUGAGACAUCACAUGACUUCAGUGAAACUACAAAGUCAAAAGGCACAUCUGUCCUCAAUUUAACAAUAUCUUCAAGAUUGGGGGAGUUUCUCAAAACACCUACAAGUUGGACAAUUCAUUGAAAGGGCUCACUAAAAGACUUUAUCAUCAUGGUCACAAUUUGUGACAGUCAAAGGAAGACUUUCAUGAGAGAGUCUAGGACUCUACACUUGAAACUUCUGUUUCCUGAGGAUGUGCUGUUUUGCAACAAAGACCCAUGACAAAGACCAAAAGCAUUACAAGACCAGAAUUUCACACUUUGGAGACCAGGGUUGGACUGAUUUUCCACAUGAUUGGACACACAAGAAGGGCUCAUUCACCAAGAAUCUUAUCAAUACUAAAGUCAUCUAUUAAACAUGUAUUGUAUACUAAAUACCGGAAGAAUUAAAGGUGAAAAAAUUACAACUUUGCUUUUUGAGAAUUAAAACUGUCAAAUUGAUUUAAGACAUGCAAGAAAUAUAAAAAUCCUGCUUGCAAAAGGCAAAAAAUGUAUCAAUAAAAAUAAAGAUCUUCACA
rnacentral:lncRNA from 1 species